ACGGGAGGCAGCAGUGGGGAAUAUUGCACAAUGGGCGAAAGCCUGAUGCAGCGGCGCCGCGUGAGUGAAGAAGUAUUUCGGUAUGUAAAGCUCUAUCAGCAGGGAAGAAAAUGACGGUACCUGACUAAGAAGCCCCGGCUAACUACGUGCCAGCAGCCGCGGUAAUACGUAGGGGGCAAGCGUUAUCCGGAUUUACUGGGUGUAAAGGGAGCGCAGACGGCAAGGCAAGUCUGAAGUGAAAGCUCGGGGCUCAACCCCGGAACUGCUUUGGAAACUGUUUAGCUAGAGUGCAGGAGAGGUAAGUGGAAUUCCUAGUGUAGCAGUGAAAUGCUUAGAUAUUAGGAGGAACACCAGUGGCGAAGGCGGCUUACUGGACUGUAACUGACGUUGAGGCUCGAAAGCGUGGGGAGCAAACAGGAUUAGAUACCCUGGUA
rnacentral:rRNA from 1 species